GUUGUUCGCAUGAACAACGCUUAAAAGAUGGCUUCUCGCUAUCACUUCUGGAUGGACCUGCGGUGCAUUAGCUUGUUGGUGGGGUAACGGCCUACCAAGGCGAUGAUGCAUAGCCGAGUUGAGAGACUGAUCGGCCACAAUGGGACUGAGACACGGCCCAUACUCCUACGGGAGGCAGCAGUAGGGAAUCUUCCACAAUGGGCGCAAGCCUGAUGGAGCAACACCGCGUGAGUGAAGAAGGGUUUCGGCUCGUAAAGCUCUGUUGUUAAAGAAGAACACGUAUGAGAGUAACUGUUCAUACGUUGACGGUAUUUAACCAGAAAGUCACGGCUAACUACGUGCCAGCAGCCGCGGUAAUACGUAGGUGGCAAGCGUUAUCCGGAUUUAUUGGGCGUAAAGAGAGUGCAGGCGGUUUUCUAAGUCUGAUGUGAAAGCCUUCGGCUUAACCGGAGAAGUGCAUCGGAAACUGGAUAACUUGAGUGCAGAAGAGGGUAGUGGAACUCCAUGUGUAGCGGUGGAAUGCGUAGAUAUAUGGAAGAACACCAGUGGCGAAGGCGGCUACCUGGUCUGCAACUGACGCUGAGACUCGAAAGCAUGGGUAGCGAACAGGAUUAGAUACCCUGGUAGUCCAUGCCGUAAACGAUGAGUGCUAGGUGUUGGAGGGUUUCCGCCCUUCAGUGCCGGAGCUAACGCAUUAAGCACUCCGCCUGGGGAGUACGACCGCAAGGUUGAAACUCAAAGGAAUUGACGGGGGCCCGCACAAGCGGUGGAGCAUGUGGUUUAAUUCGAAGCUACGCGAAGAACCUUACCAGGUCUUGACAUCUUGCGCCAACCCUAGAGAUAGGGCGUUUCCUUCGGGAACGCAAUGACAGGUGGUGCAUGGUCGUCGUCAGCUCGUG
rnacentral:rRNA from 1 species